rnacentral:lncRNA from 1 species
UAAACUCAAAUAGAAAUGAGGGCCGCUAAAUCAUACAUGAGGAUUCCUGGAAGUAGCUAUUGUUUUGAAAACCACAUAUUGACAUUUUCUACAUAAUAUGGUAUUUUUCUUUAUAUUUGUUAAACAUUUCCCAAUUAUAUUGCUAAUCUGGUGCUUGCAGCAAUCAGAAGUAUUGUAGACAGCAUGUGCCCUUGGCCACAGGUUUGACAUCUCUGAUCUAUUCUACUUCCCUCCAUCUCCAGGUGAGGAAACCAAGGCCGAGAGGGAAGCAGUAUCCAUUGUAACAUCAAACAACUUUCUAAAAAGGAUUCUUCCAGAAAUGGCUUCCUAGCAUCCUUCACAAGGAGAGAGACACCAUCUGCCCUGUAGCAUCCUCCACAUGGAGGUGCUUUGUGAGUCAUUUGAAACAACAAAAAGCCCAUAAUUGUCUGUAUCCAGUGCCAGAGGUCAAGCCAAUUCAACUAGCAUUUAUUAAGCACCUACUAUGUGCCAGCCACUGUGCUAAGUGCCUGGGAUGCAAGAAAGACAAAAACAAUCCCUGCUCUCAAGGAACUGAAAAUCUCAUGGGGAAGACGGCUUGCCAGACCAUGUUUCUGAACUUUAAAGAAUAAAUUAAAAGUAGAUGCCAAAUGGGGUAGUGUCACCAGGACUCCAAGAAGGCCUGCCUUGGCUAGCAGCCAGGAAGAAACAGAGACUCAUCAUCUACUCUGCUACUUCAAGUACUUGCUGCCUACCCCUCUUACUCAAGGAAUGAUGUUUGAGUAAUAUUAUCAUUGCGAUUGUGAAGGGCAUGACCAUACCCAUGAUUCUGAGAUGAGGAACUGAGGCAUACAAGGUAAAGUAACUUGCCCACGGUCACUCAGCUAGUAAAUGUCUGAGGCCAGAUUUGAACUCAC